UACGGAGGAUCCAAGCGUUAUCCGGAUUUAUUGGGUUUAAAGGGUGCGUAGGCGGCUCAUUAAGUCAGGGGUGAAAGACGGUGGCUCAACCAUCGCAGUGCCUUUGAUACUGAUGAGCUUGAAUACACUAGAGGUAGGCGGAAUGAGACAAGUAGCGGUGAAAUGCAUAGAUAUGUCUCAGAACACCAAUUGCGAAGGCAGCUUACUAUGGUGUCAUUGACGCUGAGGCACGAAAGCGUGGGGAUCAAACAGG
rnacentral:rRNA from 1 species